CCGAGUUAUUCAACUCAUCAACCCUGUGAACUUACCUAUACGUUGCUUCGGCGGGAAUAGACGGCCCCGUAAAACGGGCCGCCCCCGCCAGAGGACCCUUAAUUCUGUUUCUUUUAGUGUAUCUUCUGAGUAAAACAAGCAAAUAAAUUA
rnacentral:misc_RNA from 1 species